AGAGUUUGAUCAUGGCUCAGGACGAACGCUGGCGGCGUGCUUAACACAUGCAAGUCAAGGGGGCCCAGCAAUGGGCAACCGGCGAACGGGUGCGUAACACGUGAGCAACCUACCGAACUGUGGGGGAUAGCCGGCCUAACGGCCGAGUAAUACCGCAUACGCUCUCAGAGAGGCAUUUUUUUGAGAGGAAACCUACGGGACAGAUCGAGGGGCUCGCGGCCUAUCAGCUAGUUGGCGAGGUAACGGCUCACCAAGGCAACGACGGGUAGCUGGUCUGAGAGGAUGGCCAGCCACAUUGGGACUGAGAUACGGCCCAGACUCCUACGGGAGGCAGCAGUGGGGAAUCUUGCGCAAUGGCCUAACGGCUGACGCAGCGACGCCGCGUGUGGGAUGAAGCUCCUCGGAGUGUAAACCACUGUUGCCCGGGACGAAUAGCUCGAUUAAUCGAGCCUGACGGUACCGGGUGAGGAAGCACCGGCUAACUCCGUGCCAGCAGCCGCGGUAAUACGGGGGGUGCGAGCGUUGUCCGGAAUCACUGGGCGUAAAGGGCGCGUAGGUGGUUUGAUAAGGGUGUGGUGAAAGUCCGGGGCUCAACCCCGGAUCUGCCGUGCCGACUGUCAAACUCGAGGACUGUAGAGGCAGGCGGAAUUCCGGGUGUAGCGGUGGAAUGCGUAGAGAUCCGGAGGAAGACCGGUGGCGAAGGCGGCCUGCUGGGCAGUUUCUGACACUGAUGCGCGACAGCGUGGGGAGCAAACAGGAUUAGAUACCCUCGUAGUCC
rnacentral:rRNA from 1 species